rnacentral:rRNA from 1 species
AACGAACGCUGGCGGCAUGCCUAACACAUGCAAGUCGAACGAGACCUUCGGGUCUAGUGGCGCACGGGUGCGUAACGCGUGGGAACCUGCCCUUAGGUUCGGAAUAACUCCCCGAAAGGGGUGCUAAUACCGGAUAAUGUCUUCGGACCAAAGAUUUAUCGCCUUUGGAUGGGCCCGCGUUGGAUUAGCUAGUUGGUAGGGUAAAAGCCUACCAAGGCGACGAUCCAUAGCUGGUCUGAGAGGAUGAUCAGCCACACUGGGACUGAGACACGGCCCAGACACUGAGGGGAGGAAGAGGGGGGAAAUAGGGGAAAAGGGGAAAAAGCCUAAAAAAAAAAGGCCGGGGGAGAAAGAAGGGCGUGGGGGUUAAAAAGCUUUUUCCCCGGGGAAAAAAAGAAAGGAAGGGGGAAAAAAGGCCCGGGAAAACCCCGGG